rnacentral:miRNA from 1 species
UCCCAGAUCCUCUCCAUCCCCCAUGUCCUGAGUUCGCUUCUCGUGGCCAGAUGAUGGAAGCUGAUUGGGA